ncrna:Vibrio sp. AND4 malK-II RNA
AUCCUUAUGUCACUGCUCGCUAGAUAAUUCAUAUUAUGAUGAGCGGUGA